rnacentral:tRNA from 1 species
GUUUUUAUAAUUUAAUUUAAAAUAUUGAUCUUGUAAAUCAAAUUUAAGAUGCGCUCUUUAAAAACU